rnacentral:rRNA from 1 species
UACGUAGGGUGCAAGCGUUAAUCGGAAUUACUGGGCGUAAAGCGUGCGCAGGCGGUUGUGGAAGACAGAGGUGAAAUCCCCGGGCUUAACCUGGGAAUGGCCUUUGUGACUGCACGGCUAGAGUGUGUCAGAGGGGGGUAGAAUUCCACGUGUAGCAGUGAAAUGCGUAGAGAUGUGGAGGAAUACCGAUGGCGAAGGCGGCUUCCUGGCCUGUUCUUGACGCUGAGGCGCGAAAGCUAGGGGAGCAAACGGG